ACCCCAAAACAUAUCUAUUGUUUCACCAUGAAAAGUGCAAGAGGAUUAUUGGAUUAGCCCAUGCCACAUUCCCGUUUUAAACUGAUUUAGAAUGGCCUUCAUAGUGAGAGUCCACCUGACAUGGCUGUCGCCUCUUCCGGAAACCAUCAUUACACCCGUGGGUCGAUGCAUUCUCUCCCUUCUCUGAAGAGCAGUUGACCCAUGACAGUUACUUCUUUAUGCCAGAGUAAGAGGGAAUGCCUAAGACCACUGGAGUUCAGAAUUGUUAGUUAAACAAAGUUACUUCUAGUUAUUAGGAAUGCAUUAUUUACAAAGUGUUCAGUUCUGCAUGAACUAUACAUCCCAGUUUCUGAACAGCUAGGAUUUGGAGAAGUGGAAUGAACUUUUAAUUCAGAUGCUAACCAAAAAUCUGAUGAAAAACUGCAAUAAAAGAACUGUUUGGAGAGAUUAAAAGAUAUCUUUUGUGUCACUUGGCCUACCCUGCUAUGUGAAAUCCUUUCUCAAGUGAGAUACUGAGGUUUUGUUGCUACAUGGAGAUAUUAUUUCACAAAAAGUGAGUUAAAGUUUUUUAUGGACUUUGUGUUACCUUGUGCUGGGAUGAUCAUUAUGGAAGAGUUAAG